CGCUGGCGGCACGCCUUAUACAUGCAAGUCGAACGAAGUAGCAAUACUUAGUGGCAGACGGGUGAGUAACAUGUGGGUAUCUUCCCUUUGGUGAGGAAUAACACGAGGAAACUUGUGCUAAUACCUCAUAAGUCUUUACAGAGAAAGCUUUAUGCGCCAAUGGAUGAGCCCGCACUUGAUUAGUUUGUUGGUGAGGUAAUGGCUCACCAAGACUGUGAUCAAUAGCUGAUUUGAGAGGAUGAUCAGCCACAUUGGGACUGAGACACGGCCCAAACUCCUACGGGAGGCAGCAGUAAGGAAUCUUGCACAAUGGAGGAAACUCUGAUGCAGCGAUGCCGCGUGAGUGAAGAAGGCCCUUGGGUUGUAAAGCUCUUUCGUCGGGGAAGAAAAUGACUGUACCCGAAUAAGAAGGUCCGGCUAACUUCGUGCCAGCAGCCGCGGUAAUACGAAGGGACCUAGCGUAGUUCGGAAUUACUGGGCUUAAAGAGUUCGUAGGUGGUUAAAAAAGUUGGUGGUGAAAUCCCAGAGCUUAACUCUGGAACUGCCAUCAAAACUUUUUAGCUAGAGUAUGAUAGAGGAAAGCAGAAUUUCUAGUGUAGAGGUGAAAUUCGUAGAUAUUAGAAAGAAUACCAAUUGCGAAGGCAGCUUUCUGGAUCAUUACUGACACUGAGGAACGAAAGCAUGGGUAGCGAAGAGGAUUAGAUACCCUCGUAGUCCAUGCCGUAAACGAUGUGUGUUAGACGUUGGAAAUUUAUUUUCAGUGUCGCAGUGAAAGCGAUAAACACACCGCCUGGGG
rnacentral:rRNA from 1 species